AAAACUGAAAACGGACAAUCAAGACCGUAAAUUAUGGCCCGUCAAAUCUCACGGUUGUGAGUUUUUCCCCAAUUUCACUCAAAAUUUCUACAGUUUCUCUCUCCUCUUUCAUUUGCACGUUAUUUUCUUCCUCUUCUAUUUUUUCUAUCCUACUUUCUCUCUCCUAAUUUUUGCCAAUUUCAUGCUACUUUUCCAAAUCCAGCUUCAAAUACUUUGAUUUUCAACAAUUUCUCAGCUCUACGAUCUAUUAUCAAAUUAUGUUAAAAAGGAGAGGCCUUCGAAGCUCAACAAGAGUUAAUUUGCAAGACAUAGGAGUGUCAGGAAAACAACAAGAAGAAGGCAUGGAGGGUAGGUGUAGCAUGGGUAGCAGAACAAGAACAAUCCCAACAGUUUCAAGGUGUCCCAAGAAUUUUCGCAUUAACUCCAAAUCAAGCCGAAGGAUUGGCGAUACUUAAAGCGAUCAAAGAAACUCCUGCAGAUUUCAUCAAUCUGGUGAUCAAAUUAGACUCUGAUAUAGUGAUACAUGCCCUACAAAUUCAAACCAAGGCGGAGGAAGAGCUCAAACAGGUCAUCAUAGACAUAAAAGACGCAGCAAGUUCUAGAGAUUUUAUAGCUUGUGUCAAAGUUAGCCGAAAUACAGUCUAACAAGCCCACUUUCUAGCAGUUAAAUGCAGGAAGUAUGGGUAGAUUGUCUCUGAGUUUUCUAUUUUUACCCACCAUAAAAAAUAAUAAUUUGUAUAUAAACACCAUUAAUAUACGAGUAGUUACCUUAUUUUUAUAUAAAAUAGUGACCUUUGUGUAAAUAUCGUAAAAAAAUUAUAUAGUUACCUUAUUUUUUAAAUAUAGUGACCUAUGUGCAAGCUUCAACAAAAUUGAUAUUAUAACCUUGUUUGUACAAAUGUCGUCAAAAUUGUUAUAACUUGAUAAAGUUAGCUUAAUUUUGUAUA